UUUUUUUAAUCCAUGAUCGAUUUUUUUGAAAAUUUGUUUUUUUUUUUUUUAAUCCAUAUUAUUCAAAGAGAAAACGAGAGAGAUGAUGAUUCUGAGGCCACCCUAUCCCAGCCAUAUUAUUCACAUAUCGAGUCUCAACAGCAACAGUGUAGGGAUGAGCACGAAAUACUGUAAAUUAAAUACUGAAUGGCGGUUCAUGCAGGGA
rnacentral:lncRNA from 1 species